UACGUAGGGUGCAGGCGUUAAUCGGAAUUACUGGGCGUAAAGCGUGCGCAGGCGGUUUCUUAAGUCAGAUGUGAAAGCCCCGGGCUUAACCUGGGAACUGCGUUUGAAACUGGGAGACUUGAGUGUGGCAGAGGGGGGUGGAAUUCCACGUGUAGCAGUGAAAUGCGUAGAUAUGUGGAGGAACACCAAUGGCGAAAGGCAGCUCACUGGGACGAUACUGACGCUGAGACGCGAAAGCGUGGGGAGCGAACAGG
rnacentral:rRNA from 1 species